rnacentral:rRNA from 1 species
AUUGAACGCUGGCGGCAUGCCUUACACAUGCGAGUCGAACGGUAACAGGUCUUCGGAUGCUGACGAGUGGCGCACGGGUGAGUAAUACAUCGGAACGUGCCCGAUCGUGGGGGAUAACGAGGCGAAAGCUUUGCUAAUACCGCAUACGAUCUACGGAUGAAAGCGGGGGAUCUUCGGACCUCGCGCGGACGGAGCGGCCGAUGGCAGAUUAGGUAGUUGGUGGGAUAAAAGCUUACCAAGCCGACGAUCUGUAGCUGGUCUGAGAGGAUGAUCAGCCACACUGGGACUGAGACACGGCCCAGACUCCUACGGGAGGCAGCAGUGGGGAAUUUUGGACAAUGGGCGAAAGCCUGAUCCAGCCAUGCCGCGUGCAGGAUGAAGGCCUUUGGGUUGUAAACUGCUUUUGUACGGAACGAAAAGCCUCUUUCUAAUAAAGAGGGGUCAUGACGGUACCGUAAGAAUAAGCACCGGCUAACUACGUG